AAGGAUUUAGGUUAAAAAAACCUUUAACCUUCAAAGUUAAGAAUGGGGGGGUAAUCCCUAAGCCUUA
rnacentral:tRNA from 1 species